rnacentral:pre_miRNA from 1 species
UACGUACUCCCUCCGUCCGUAAAUACUUGUCACGAAAAUAAAUGUAUCUAGACGUGUUUUUAGUUCUAGAUACAUCCAUUUCAAUCCAUUCCCGAUGAGUAAUUUGGGAUGGAGGGAGUAACAA